CGGUACAAACUGAGCAGGCGAUGAACAAUGUUGUUCGUGGGGCCGGGCUGGAAACAGCAACAGAUUGGAAUUUUCACAUCUGUGGGACAGU
rnacentral:ncRNA from 1 species